rnacentral:tRNA from 1 species
GCCCCGGUAGCCCAAUCAGGCAGUCAGGCAGCGGACUUAAAAUCCGUCCAGUGUGGGUUCGACUCCCACCCGGGGUA